CACUUGCCCCCACCCCGACUUUCAUGCGGGGAAAAUGAAAUAUGGAAUAGAAAAGUCGAGAUAUUUUUUUGGCUGGUUUCUUGGCAAGUGAUAUACUGUUUCCAUUUGAUCAGCUACACGAGGCAAAUCAAAAAAUUCAGGAACUGGUCAAAGAACAAGAUAGUUUUAUUGAUAUAUUCUCAGAAGAACGAGAGCGUCGAAAUACCGAGGAAGAAAAUUUGAGAAAGAAAUUGAAGGUUUGUUUUCCUUCCCAUUUAUGAUUCUAUUUAUUCUUGCAAAUUUUGAAUGCAUAUUCUGACGUCUAAAUUACCUAAUGUUUAUUCACCUUUCAUACAGGAGGCAUCAAAUACCAUCCAAGAAUUGCUCGACAGGGUGAGACUAUUGGAGAAAAGGUCUUCAAAUGGAAAACUGGACCGUUGAGAAAUAGUGAUAGGAUUCUGCGUGGUCCAUUUCUUUUUUAGAGCAUCAGUGCUUUCAAAACACGUUAAAAGUGUGCGAACGUACUGAAGGCAUGUAAUCGCUUUUGAUAAAGUUGAGGAGCACCACUUUUCCGAGACAGGUAACUGAUGCCUGGUUCUUUCUAUGUCUUCUCAUGUUCAUAGAUGACUUGACGUUAGGUUAGUAUUCAGGGAUGUCAAUAUUAUUCCCUCUUACGUACAGCAAUGUCUCAAAUGAUUUACUAAUUUUGUGUAGCUUUACCCAGAUUUAUCUAAUAUGGAAAAUAUCCCUCCUUUCUGCACUUCAUUUGCUUGUUAUCUUGGAAGAUUUUAAUGAGAACAUCUUAAAAAUUUGACACACAC
rnacentral:lncRNA from 1 species